rnacentral:rRNA from 1 species
AGUAGUUUGAUCAUGGCUCAGAACGAACGCUGGCGGCAUGCCUAACACAUGCAAGUCGAACGGGAUCCUAGCUUGCUAGGUGAGAGUGGCGGACGGGUGAGUAACACGUGGGAAUCUGCCUUUUGGUUCGGGAUAACCGCGGGAAACUGCGGCUAAUACCGAAUGCCCUCGAGAGAGGAAAGAUUUAUCGCCAGAAGAGGAGCCCGCGUCCGAUUAGGUAGUUGGUGGGGUAAAGGCCUACCAAGCCGACGAUCGGUAGCUGGUCUGAGAGGAUGAUCAGCCACACUGGGGACUGAGAUACGGCCCAGACUCCUACGGGAGGCAGCAGUGGGGAAUAUUGGACAAUGGGGGCAACCCUGAUCCAGCAAUGCCGCGUGAGUGAUGAAGGCCUUAGGGUUGUAAAGCUCUUUUGCCAGGGAAGAUGAUGACUGUACCUGGAGAAUAAGCCCCGGCUAACUUCGUG